GCCAGCAGGUCAAAGGAGGUGAUUCUCCCCCUCUAUUCUGCUCUCAUAAGACUUCACCUGGAGUGCUGCAUUCAGCUCUGGGGCCCUCAACAUACGAAGGACAUGGACCUAUUAGCACAAGUCCAGAGAAGGGCAACGAAGCUGGUGAGGG